UCCGGUUGAUCCUGCCGGAGGUCACUGCUAUCGGGGUUCGAUUAAGCCAUGCGAGUCGAGAGGGUUCGGCCCUCGGCGUACUGCUCAGUAACACGUGGAUAACCUGUACUAAGGAAGGGGAUAACCCCGGGAAACUGGGGAUAAUACCCUAUAGGUUACAGAUGCUGGAAUGCCCUGUAACCCAAAGCUCCGGCGCCUUAGGAUGGAUCUGCGGCCGAUUAGGUUGUUGUUGGGGUAACGGCCCAACAAGCCAGUAAUCGGUACGGGUUGUGGGAGCAAGAGCCCGGAGUUGGAUUCUGAGACACGAAUCCAGGCCCUACGGGGCGCACAGGCGCGAAAACUUUACAAUGCGGGCAACCGUGAUAAGGGAACCUCGAGUGCCUGUACAUGCAGGCUGUUCGGGUGUCUAAAACACACCUGAAGAAAGGGCCGGGCAAGACCGGUGCCAGCCGCCGCGGUAAUACCGGCGGCUCGAGUGGUGGCCACUUUUAUUGGGCUUAAAGCGUUCGUAGCUGGGUUGUUAAGUCUCUUGGGAAAUCUGACGGCUCAACCGUCAGGCGUCUAAGGGAUACUGGCAAUCUUGGAACCGGGAGAGGUGAGGGGUACUUCGGGGGUAGGAGUGAAAUCCUGUAAUCCUCGAGGGACCACCUGUGGCGAAGGCGCCUCACCAGAACGGCUUCGACAGUGAGGGACGAAAGCUGGGGGAGCAAACCGGAUUAGAUACCCGGGUAGUCCCAGCCGUAAACGAUGCGCGUUAGGUGUAUCGGUGACCACGAGUCACCGAGGUGCCGAAGGGAAACCGUGAAACGUGCCGCCUGGGAAGUACGGUCGCAAGGCUGAAACUUAAAGGAAUUGGCGGGGGAGCACCACAACGGGUGGAGCUGCGGUUUAAUUGGACUCAACGCCGGGAAGCUCACCGGAUAAGACAGCUGAAUGAUUGCCGGGCUGAAGACUCUGCAUGACUAGCUGAGAGGAGGUGCAUGGCCGUCGUCAGUUCGUACUGUGAAGCAUCCUGUUAAGUCAGGCAACGAGCGAGACCCACGCCAACAGUUGCCAGCAUGGUCUCCGGACUGAUGGGGACACUGUUGGGACCGCCUCUGCUAAAGAGGAGGAAGGAAUGGGCAACGGUAGGUCAGCAUGCCCCGAAUUAUCCGGGCUACACGCGGGCUACAAUGAGCAGGACAAUGGGUAUCGACACCGAAAGGUGAAGGCAAUCUCCUAAACCUGUCCCUAGUUCGGAUUGUGGGCUGUAACUCGCCCACAUGAAGCUGGAAUCCGUAGUAAUCGCGUUUCAAAAUAACGCGGUGAAUGUGUCCCUGCUCCUUGUACACACCGCCCGUCA
rnacentral:rRNA from 1 species